GAGCAUGUUUAUUCCGGAAAGUUGUGUGGUAUAGUAUUUAUAACUUGUUUUUUUUUUUUGUUUUUGUUUAUGAAAUACUUACCACACUGUUCUUUUAAGAGGGGUCUACAGUCCUUGAUUCUUAUAAUGAGAGAAUAAAUGAUGAUCACGCAGACAAAGUCGUAUCUAGCUUUCGUUCUUAUAACAAGGAACCGUCAUUGUUAGACCAGAACAAGUGUUGGUUUUGGUGCAGGUAUGUCAGUCUGCAGAUGGAUGGGUAGAGCUAUUGAGACAUGGUGGUGGUUUGGCGGUUGUUUCCAAGAUGGUAUUUGGUGUGUCUUCGGUGGCGAGUAGGAGAGCGGUGAGGAUAUUGUAUUUGGUGGCGAUGUUUGGUAGUAGUGCGCGUGUUUUGCAAGAGAAGAUUGAGUUGGGGGUGGUUGAAAAGCUUAUGUUGGUGUUGCAAGUGGAUUGUGGAAGAAAGAUGAAGGAAAAAAGCAAGGGAUAUACUGAAGAUACAUUCUAGGUUUUGGAGAAAUUUACUUGCAUAACUUCUUAUUUGAUUUAAGGAAAAACAAUUGAAUUGAUUACAA